rnacentral:rRNA from 1 species
GGACCUGCCUCAAAGAGGGGGACAACAGUUGGAAACGACUGCUAAUACCGCAUAAGCCCACGGGUCGGCAUCGACCAGAGGGAAAAGGAGCAAUCCGCUUUGAGAUGGCCUCGCGUCCGAUUAGCUAGUUGGUGAGGUAACGGCCCACCAAGGCAACGAUCGGUAGCCGGACUGAGAGGUUGAACGGCCACAUUGGGACUGAGACACGGCCCAGACUCCUACGGGAGGCAGCAGUGGGGAAUAUUGCACAAUGGGGGAAACCCUGAUGCAGCGACGCCGCGUGGAGGAAGAAGGUCUUCGGAUUGUAAACUCCUGUUGUUGAGGAAGAUAAUGACGGUACUCAACAAGGAAGUGACGGCUAACUACGUGCCAGCAGCCGCGGUAAAACGUAGGUCACAAGCGUUGUCCGGAAUUACUGGGUGUAAAGGGAGCGCAGGCGGGAAGACAAGUUGGAAGUGAAAUCUAUGGGCUCAACCCAUAAACUGCUUUCAAAACUGUUUUUCUUGAGUAGUGCAGAGGUAGGCGGAAUUCCCGGUGUAGCGGUGGAAUGCGUAGAUAUCGGGAGGAACACCAGUGGCGAAGGCGGCCUACUGGGCACCAACUGACGCUGAGGCUCGAAAGUGUGGGUAGCAAACAGGAUUAGAUACCCUGGUAGUCCACACCGUAAACGAUGAUUACUAGGUG